rnacentral:rRNA from 1 species
AUGGAAGGCAGGGUUGAGGAGCCGCCGGUGCUUGACCCACUUCUCGCCCUCGUGGUUCAAGAGGCCAUUGGCGAGCAGCUUCCACAUCGCCGGGAACUUGGGCUUCUCGAAGUGCCCGGACUUGUCGGACAGCACGCUCUUGGCAAGCUCGGGGUCGGCGAUGGUUACCUUGGGGAUCGGGCCGAACCACGAGAGGCUCACCUUGCCGUGCUCCCGGGCGGAAUCGCAGAGGAGUGGUGCCACGCGAGGGGCGAUGUCGUGGCACCGCAGCGGCAGCCGCCUCGACCAGGCGUCCUUGUUCCGCCGGCCUUGCUCCCUGAGGUCGCCGGUGAGGAAGCGGUAGGACGUGCCGCGGAGGCCCUUGGACCGGAGCUCCCGCUCGAGGCACCGCGGCCGCCACCACAGCCGGUGCAGCAACCGGCAGAGCUGCCACAGGAGCACAAGGGUCGGGAGCAGGAGGAGGCUCCGCCUCCAUGGCACCGAGGC